GAUGAACGCUAGCGGCAGGCCUAACACAUGCAAGUCGAGGGGUAGAGGGAGCUUGCUUCCUUGAGACCGGCGCACGGGUGCGUAACGCGUAUGCAAUCUACCUUUUACAGAGGGAUAGCCCAGAGAAAUUUGGAUUAAUACCUCAUAGUAUUUUCGAAUGGCAUCAUUUGAUUAUUAAAGUACCAACGGUAAAAGAUGAGCAUGCGUCCUAUUAGCUAGAUGGUAAGGUAACGGCUUACCAUGGCAACGAUAGGUAGGGGUCCUGAGAGGGAGAUCCCCCACACUGGUACUGAGACACGGACCAGACUCCUACGGGAGGCAGCAGUGAGGAAUAUUGGACAAUGGGCGCAAGCCUGAUCCAGCCAUGCCGCGUGCAGGAAGACGCAUCUAUGGUGUGUAAACUGCUUUUGUACGGGAAGAAACACUCCCUCGUGAGGGAGCUUGACGGUACCGUAAGAAUAAGGAUCGGCUAACUCCGUGCCAGCAGCCGCGGUAAAAC
rnacentral:rRNA from 1 species